CAAUAUAUCCACACUUACAGUGCUUUGUGAACAUUGUAUAGCUCAUAAAAAUGACUCUAACUUACCUUAGAAUUAAGUGAUGACUUGAUCAUUUCUUAUGCUGCUUUGUAUUUGGCCGUCUCCUCCUUAUUCAGUUGCUUACUCUUGAAGGUAUAUACCUGGAAAAUAAAAUAUUGAAAACAUCUGAUGCUCCAUGUAAUUUGAUUCUGAAUUUCUGAUAUGUAAUGUAAUUAUUU
rnacentral:lncRNA from 1 species